rnacentral:rRNA from 1 species
UAGGGAAUCUUCCGCAAUGGGCGAAAGCCUGACGGAGCAACGCCGCGUGAGUGAAGAAGGUCUUCGGAUCGUAAAACUCUGUUAUUAGGGAAGAACAAAUGUGUAAGUAACUAUGCACGUCUUGACGGUACCUAAUCAGAAAGCCACGGCUAACUACGUGCCAGCAGCCGCGGUAAUACGUAGGUGGCAAGCGUUAUCCGGAAUUAUUGGGCGUAAAGCGCGCGUAGGCGGUUUUUUAAGUCUGAUGUGAAAGCCCACGGCUCAACCGUGGAGGGUCAUUGGAAACUGGAAAACUUGAGUGCAGAAGAGGAAAGUGGAAUUCCAUGUGUAGCGGUGAAAUGCGCAGAGAUAUGGAGGAACACCAGUGGCGAAGGCGACUUUCUGGUCUGUAACUGACGCUGAUGUGCGAAAGCGUGGGGAUCAAACAGGAUUAGAUACCCUGGUAGUCCACGCCGUAAACGAUGAGUGCUAAGUGUUAGGGGGUUUCCGCCCCUUAGUGCUGCAGCUAACGCAUUAAGCACUCCGCCUGGGGGAGUACGACCGCAAGGUUG